rnacentral:rRNA from 1 species
AUUGAACGCUGGCGGCAGGCCUAACACAUGCAAGUCGAACGAGUGGCGGACGGGUGAGUAAUGUCUGGGAAACUGCCCGAUGGAGGGGGAUAACUACUGGAAACGGUAGCUAAUACCGCAUACCAUCGGAUGUGCCCAGAUGGGAUUAGCUUGUAGGUGAGGUAACGGCUCACCUGGGCGACGAUCCCUAGCUGGUCUGAGAGGAUGACCAGCCACAGUGUAACGUAGCCACGGUCCAUCCUGCUAGGUGAGUGAGCUGGGGGGAAGAUUGCACAAUUGGCGCAAGUCUACUGAAGCCAUGCCGCGUGGGGGACGAAGUCCUUCGGGUUGUCAUGUACUUUCAUCGUGGAUGCGUUACCUGCAUAAGACGCCCCGGUUAACUCCGUUCCAGCAGCCGCGGUAAUAC